rnacentral:lncRNA from 1 species
CUUUCUUUCUUCUUCUUUCUUUCUUUCUUUCUUUCUCUCUUUCUUUGCCAUACCCACAGCCUGUGGAAGUUCCCAGGCCAAGAAUUGAAUCUGUACUGCAGUUGAGACUUCCAAGGAGCCCAUAUUUUGAUGCCAAAGAGAACUUACCAGCUCUGGAUGGGCUGGCCUUUAAGUGUACACAGUUGUUUGUUUGUUUGUUUGUUUGUUUUUUCACAUUUACAAGCACAGACAACUUAGUAUUUUUCACAUUUUUAACUAAACUGGUUGGAAAACCAAACCUCUUCUCCCAAAGCAAAGAGGGUACAGCUCUGCUCUGGCCUGUAAUGGGAAGUCUGUUCAACCCAAUCUGAUAUACAAAGGCAGGCAUAUGCCUUAGGGUAUCCUUUAUUGUGAACCCCUCAUUUUCUAUCCUAUAUCACCCUCCUUGGCACAGGGCUUCUUGUUUCUAGAAUAAAGGGUUUGACUAUGAUUCCAAAACCUCCCUUAAUAGCUCCUUGUAGAAGCUCUCCAUUAAACGGCACCCCACGAUCCACUGCCUAGUCCCAGAUUCCCUUGGACAGAGAAUCCUUCAUAAUUCUUCACUGAGACCACAGGCUCCAAUUUACUUUGAUAGAUACCCAUUCGAGGUUAGGUUUGUCAUUCUUGCCCAUCCUCUGUAGCAAUUUAGAAAAAUAGAUAACAUGUAAAGAAACAUAAAUCUGAGAGUCAGAGAAGAAAAUUGAGAUGUCAAAGGAGUAUUUCUAUCUGAAUAUUGCUGAAUACUCGACUUUCAAGGAAAGGUUUCCAAUUCUUUGCCAUAGUCAAUGCACACGUGUAAACAUAUGACCUUAUAAAAUAUCUGGGAGAUGCUGAGCAUUCACCGUCCAGAUUAUUUUUCCAUGGUUUUCCAAAACUCAGAAGACAAUGAUUAGGAUGUGGAGCUCUGGAAAUGAAUGAGCAGAAUCAAGGUUCAUCUACAGGAUAUGGGAAAGAACAGAGAGAAAGCACUUUUCCUCUUUAAGAUCAGGAGCCUAGUAGGGAGUACCUACCAGGGAUUGUCAUCCUCAACACUUCUCCAUUUCCAGACUCAUUUCCAGGCCUGUCUUAUCUGAUGUUCACUGGUGUUCCUUCUCUCUAUUGCUCAUAAAUUAUUUUUCAUAAUUUAUGGUUCGUUUUAUACUUAUUUAGCCUGGACAUUUGUAAGCUUCUUGAAGUAGAAUUUUUUUGUUUAACUCCGAUUUUUUCUAAAUAGGUUUAGGAGUUCCUGCUGUGGCACAGUGGUUUAAGAAUCUGACUGCAGCAGCUCAGGUACCUGGGGAGGCUUGGGUUCCAUCCCUAGCCUGGCACAGCGGGUUAAAAGGAUCUGGCAUGGCAGAAGCUAUGGCACAGAUCAUAACUCUGGCUUGGAUUCAUUCCCAGGCCCAGGAACUUCCAUAUGCUAUGGACGUGGCCAUUAAAAAAAAAAAAGAAAAAAAGAAAAAAAGAAGAAGGAAAACAGGUUUAGGUUUAAAUUUAGAAGGAAUCUGACAAAAUGCUUGGAAUUAAAGACUAUACCAUACUAUCUAGGCUGUUUUUAAUAAAUGAUUAGAAUUAGAACAAAGAGAAACUGAGCCCCCAAACAAGGAAUCUUUCAAAAAUCAUUAUCUUACAUUCAAAAUACUCAGGAUAUGUAAGUGCAUACACUUCAUGUGAAAGUUUAGAGAGUCUGUUACUGUGGUAAUGGUUAAUGUGAAUUUUCGAGGAGAGAGGCCACGGAGGUUUAAAUGCUGUUAUGUAUCUAUUUUAGAACAAUACACAGAGCUUCUUAUAUUGAAAUCCCAUUGUAUUUCCAAAUUCAACUGUGUUAAACUAACUUAGUAUUUGCAAACUUAAUCCCAAUAAAGAUUAUUUUAAGCAUGUUGAAAACGUGCCCAACAACCAUAGUAAUAAAUAACACUUAGAAUUAAUGAAGCUACUUUGUCUAAACACAUCAAAGUGCCUUUAAACACUGACUCCAUUCCUUCUAUUUUAUAUAAUAAAUGGUCUUGUAGGUUUUUAUAUUUUUAUGUAUUAAUCUUUCCAAACUGCAACUGAUAUGAGAAAAACCUCAAAAACACUGCACUUUAUAUCUUUUUCAUUUCUUGGCAAAUUGGAGCUUUGGUCCAGUACAGGUGAGUUAGUUUGACUGUUGUUUCAUAUUGAAUUAGAAAAAGAGAAAUCGUGUGUGACCUUGUUCAUUGUUUUAUCUCCAGUACCUUAUACAGCCUCUAAUAAAAGAACAUAUACUCUAAUUAAAGAACAUUUUUUUUUCAAUGAAAGAAUGAAUGAAUGAAGUUAAGCAUAGCACACAGGGAUAAAAGUUUUACAGUGAAGACUCAAGAAAGAUAAGAGAAAGCAAAUCUAGGCCUAAGACUUUCUGCAAGAAGGAGAUGAGAAGAAGUGGCAGGACUGACCAAGUGAGAGGUGAUAUUUCUGGAGUUAUAAACUCAAAAAGGCAUUGAACAUCUGGAUAGAGAAGCAGAUUCAAGAAACAAAUUAUUAUUAUUAUUUUCUUUAUAGGUCUGCACCUGUGGCACAUGGAAGUUCCCAGGCUAGAGGUUGAAUCUGAGCCACCCCUGCUGGCCUAUGUCACAGCCACAGCAACACAGGAUCCAAGCCAUGUCUGCGACCUAUACUACUGCUCAUGGCUAGGCCAGAUCCUUAACCCACUGAGCAAGGCCAGGGAUUGAACCCCCAUCCUCAUGGAUUCUAGUCGGGCUCAUUACCGCUGAUCCACAAUAGGAACUUCCAAUUCUUGAUAUAUAUAUAUAUAUAUUAUCAGUCCCAAAGCAAGAAGGAUUUGUAGAAAAGUUUAUUAAAACUUGGUAAAUGGGCUCUUCUGCAAGGUUUGUUUUAACAAGAGAUAUUUAGUGUAAAUUGAUAAUACACACUAUGCAAGAUGUGAACACAUGGUCUUUCUUGAUAUCUGUAACAUGAUUAUAGCCUAAUUUUAUCAAAUGUAGAAAUAUUGACGAGGCCGCCACAGGCUUGCUUAAUUCAGCUACCUAUAUCUUCCAGAGUCAACAAGUUCGUCAAAUUAAAUAUUUCUAUCAAGAAGUACUCUAGAAAACUUUUUGUAUGACAAGAAGGGGCCUGUGAAUGAUUGUUUUAUGCUCUACUGUUUUUAACAAACAUACACUAUGCAUUUCAUUUUUUUCAUAUCUAAAUUUCUAUAGAAAAGGGCUUCAGAGCGGGGCUGUGGAACACACAAGGCCUUUUUUUUUUAAACCUGCCCAGCUUGCUAACACUAUCUUUUCUGUGCAAUAUAUUCUCUUUUCUCAUCAUGCUCAUCUUGCCUUUCCUUCUCCUUUCUUGCCCCCUGAAAUCCCGCUAAUACUUCAAGGUCCAACUAAAAUGUUACCUAUCCCUAUAGAGACUGACUUGCUUCAAAGAGUCAGAAGUCCUGCCGUCUGCAGCCUUCACUCACCACGCUCUUUGCUUUACAUCCCAACAACCCUUUCCCUAUCAGUUCAUGAUCCCUUUGAUAGCAGGGGGCAACUCUUUUUCAUUUUUGUCUCUCCAGAACCUGAAUAUUGCCGAUGCUCAAUAAAUACUGCAUGGACAAGUUGUUGAGUAAGUGAGAAUAGAUACUCUGAAUGAGGGAUAUGUCUUCUCUGUAUGAGAAGGAAACCCAAACACACUGAGCCAUGGGGAGAAUGAUUAAAACUGUGAAGUGAAUGUGAAAUCGACAAACCAAAAAACAAGGAUUCUUGAGAACCCAGUCCUGGCAUGUAGUAAGAGGUUAGUACAUGUCCGUUCUCCAUAAUCUAAACUUUAUUUUAGCUUCAUAUUUAGUAACAAUUUUAAUGAUUUUUCUCAUAUCAUUAUUUUAGGAUAUAUUCCUAUUUAAUAAAAACAGAUAUAAUUAGGAUAAAAUGCCCAUCCUUUAAGCCAAUGGACCCUCCCUAACACACAAGAAUCCCCUUUAACAAUCAAGAAAAAGCAACUUAAUGAAUAGCAUUUUAACACUGGGGAAGUUUGUGCAAUUCUACAGUUUAGUCCCUGGAGAUCAGAUCUCCAUUACAGGGCAAAAUUAUCUUUUGAGAGAAAAGUGUAGUUUCUGCAGCUGUGUGUGUUAGUAGAUGUUUUUGAACUAUAAGAUCAGGCUUCAUAAAUAUAUCCCCCUGUUCUUUCCUGUGCUGUGUUUAUUCUGUUUGCUCAAGCCAAGCGCUAUAACAUAAAAGGAGGCUUUCUCAAGAGGCUGAAUUAGAAAGUCAUGCAUCUAAGUGUACAGAACAUUCAGUCUGCAAAGAACAGAAUCAAACAUCUGAAGAUGCAGUUUUAUUUCUCAGCUAAUAACAUUUCCAAGUUGCCAGCCUACCCUUCUCGAACAGAACUGGUUCCAUAAACGGAGGAGAGUAAUUCUAAGAAAUUCAGAGGGGUUAAUGGGGGAUGUCCAGGGGUAUCCCGCCUAACUGGCCUCCAGGCUGAAAAUCAAGUUUGGAGGCAGUACAGGCCACCUCCUUUGAUCCUACAAAACACUUCCCUUCAGUCAUAAAAGCAGAGAAGGAUGAGUUAGGAAAACCAAAUCAAAGAUUAUGAAUGUCUAUAAGUCAGUGAAUGGUGGGGAGGGAAGUGAAAAUUAGGGGGUCGGAUUUUCAGAAAUGCUAUUGAGAUUUAAAUUUAAAUGUGCUAGAAUGUCCCAUAAAGGCAGUUAAAGGUUGGGAGAAGAGCUAAGAAACUAAGUUCUAUAAAACUACAGAUCUUCAAAAGAAAAGUGAGAAUAGGAGAAAAUAAAAUUUUGAGAGUCUUGAACUGCCUUAGAGCCAUGUGUAGUUCAGGGACGCUAAGGAGUCACAAGGUCAAAACUAGUUUCAUAAUUAUACUAGGACACUCUAUGCUCUCUCACAACUAUUCUGCCAUAUUUGUGGAAAAUAUACACUGAUGUUUUCC